AAUCAACGCUGGCGGCGUGCCUCAGACAUGCAAGUCGAACGAUUAAAGCUCUCUUCGGAGAGUGCAUAGAGUGGCGCACGGGUGAGUAACACGUAAGUAAUCUACCCUCGGGUGGGGAAUAACGUCCGGAAACGGACGCUAAUACCGCAUAAUGCAGCGGCACCGCAAGGUGACAGUUGUUAAAGGAGUAAUCCGCCUGGGGAGGAGCUUGCGGCAGAUUAGCUAGUUGGUAAGGUAAUGGCUUACCAAGGCUACGAUCUGUAACCGGUCUAAGAGGACGGUCGGUCACACUGACACUGAAUAACGGGUCAGACUCCUACGGGAGGCAGCAGCCGGGAAUUUUGGGCAAUGGGCGAAAGCCUGACCCAGCAACGCCGCGUGAAGGAUGAAGUAUUUCGGUAUGUAAACUUCGAAAGAAUAGGAAGAAUUAAUGACGGUACUAUUUAUAAGGUCCGGCUAACUACGUGCCAGCCGCCGCAGUAAAAC
rnacentral:rRNA from 1 species